rnacentral:rRNA from 1 species
CUACGGGUGGCAGCAGUGAGGAAUUUUGCGCAAUGGGCGAAAGCCUGACGCAGCAACGCCGCGUGAGUGAUGAAGGCCUUCGGGUCGUAAAGCUCUGUCAAGUGGGAAGAACCUGGUUGUAGACAACAGCUGCAAUCACUGACGGUACCACUGAAGGAAGCACCGGCUAACUCCGUGCCAGCAGCCGCGGUAAUACGGAGGGUGCGGCGUUAUUCGGAAUUAUUGGGCGUAAAGGGCGCGCAGGCGGUCCUUUAAGUCAGAUGUGAAAGCCCGAGGCUUAACCUCGGAAGUGCAUUUGAAACUAUAGGACUUGAGUAUGGGAGAGGGAAGUGGAAUUCCUGGUGUAGAGGUGAAAUUCGUAGAUAUCAGGAGGAACACCGGUGGCGAAGGCGACUUCCUGGACCAAUACUGACGCUGAGGCGCGAAGGCGUGGGGAGCAAACAGGAUUAGAUACCCCCGUAGUC